CUUGACAUCCAGAGAAUUUAGCAGAGAUGCUUUUAGUGCCUUCGGGAACUCUGAGACAGGUGCUGCAUGGCUGUCGUCAGCUCGUGUUGUGAAAUGUUGGGUUAACGUCCGCAACGAGCGCAACCCUUAUCCUUUGUGCCAGCACGUAAUGGUGGGAAACUCAAAGGAGACUGCCGGUGAUAAACCGGAGGAAGGUGGGGAUGACGUCAAGUCAUCAUGGCCCUUACGAGUAGGGCUACACACGUGCUACAAUGGCGUAUACAAAGAGAAGCGACCUCGCGAGAGCAAGCGGACCUCAUAAAGUGCGUCGUAGUCCGGAUUGGAGUCUGCAACUCGACUCCAUGAAGUCGGAAUCGCUAGUAAUCGUAAAUCAGAAUGUUACGGUGAAUACGUUCCCGGGCCUUGUACACACCGCCCGUCACACCAUGGGAGUGGGUUGCAAAAGAAGUAGAUAGCUUAACCUUCGGGAGGGCGUUUACCACUUUGUGAUUCAUGACUGGGGUGAAGUCGUAACAAGGUAGGCGUAGUGCU
rnacentral:rRNA from 1 species